AUGGGAGAAGCCAGCUGCCUGGCCAUGAGCAGCCACCUGGAGAGGCCCGUGACAAGGAACUGAAGCCCCCUGCCAACAGCCAUGUGACUGAACUUGGAAGGACAUUCUCCAGCCCAUUCAUGACUUCAACCUUAACCAACAACUUCACUGUAACCUUGAGAGGCCCUGAGGCAAGAUCACCCAGGUUGGAGCAGCCUGCAACACCCAAAUUGCAGCUAUUUACUCUGAGGUGUGUUAAAAGUAUAUUCCUAAGAGCAAAUCUGUUGU
rnacentral:lncRNA from 10 species